UUGACGGUACCCUACUAGAAAGGAGCCGCUAACUUCGUGCCAGAAGCGUCGGUAAUACGGGGGCUCCAAGCGUUAUCCGGUGUAAUUGGGCGUAAAGAGUCGUGUACCGUGGUAGGGUAAGUCAUCUUGCACAUCUCUUUGCUUAACAAAGAGGAGCGGGGAUAAUACUGCUCGACUAGAAUUUUCUCAAGGGAGAUCGGAACUGAGGGAGGAGUAGUGAAAUGCGUUGAUACCCUCGGGAACACCAGUGGCGUAGGCGGAUCUCUGGGAGAAGAUUGACACUGAGACACGAAAGCUAGGGGAGCGAAGCAGAUUAGAGACCUGCGUAGUCCUAGCCGUAAACGCAUGCUUGCUAGCUGCAUGAAUCUACCUUCGGGUGGUAUCGUGUGGCGAAGGUAACCCGUUAAGCAAGCCGCCUGGAAAGUACGGCCGCAAGGCUGAAAUUCAAAGGAAUUGGCGGGGAGGCACACAACCAGUGGAACAUGUGGUUUAAUUCGAGACUAACCGAAGAACCUCACCAGGGUUUGACAUGUAGCUGCACGUCUUAAGAAAUUAAGACUCUCUUGAAGGUGCUACACAGGUGCUGCAUGGCUGUCGUCAGCUCGUUCCGUGAGGAGUGCCCUUAAGUGGGACAACGAGCGCAACCCCUAUUACAUGUUAGAAAUGUCACGUAAGACUGCCUUGCCAUUUGGCGGGGAGGUAGGAGGGGCAGACGUCAAGUCCGCAUGGUCCUUAUGCCCUGGGCUACACACAUGUUACAAUGAGUACGGCAAUGAGUCUGUCGCGAGCACGUAAGUGUAAGCUAAUCUCUUAAAUGUACUCCCAGUGGGGAUUGAGGUCUGCAACUCGACCUCAUGAACACGGAAUUGGUAGUAAUCGCGGGUCAGCUAUACCGCGGUGAUACGUUCUUGCCUCUUGCACACACCGCCCGUCAAACCAGCAAAGU
rnacentral:rRNA from 1 species